rnacentral:ncRNA from 2 species
CUCUUAUCCAGAGAGGCGGAGGGACAUGGCCCUGCGAAGCCUCGGCAACGGAUCACGAUUUUUGUGAAACCGUGCUAAUUCCUGCAGACGCAUUCAUGUGUUUGAAAGAUGAGAG